rnacentral:tRNA from 1 species
GCCUGCGUAGCUCAGUCGGUAGAGCACUUCCUUGGUAAGGAAGAGGUCACCGGUUCAAAUCCGGUCGUAGGCU